rnacentral:sRNA from 1 species
UCCCGAAGCAUCCGUGCCCGGUCAGCACCA